UGGGCUGAGGCCUCCGGAGGAUGCUAGAAGGGAGGCGUGCGUGUAAAGCGCCAUCCCUCAGCAGCCCACGAUCUCGGACGGUUUGCCACUGUGGCCAGUGUUUUAUUGAUGCUUCUGAGGCCAUAGAGCACGCACGGGGAAGUUCUGAGCACACGGAGGACAAGCCAGGGCGGUGCUGUGUGGCCGCAGUCAACCCUAGUAGGGGUCCGAGUGGGGGACGGUCGCUAACACCUCGAUUCCUCAUGUCUGUGUUUCUGCAGCUUGGAGCUUGGAGAGUGUGUGUGAGAGCGACCUCGCUGACAGCAACCUCGCAGAAAGUGAUCGAGACUCGGUGGCGGAGCGCACCGACUGCCGCCAGGAUGAGGAGGCUGCAGGAACUCACGACGACGAUGUUGUGGAGGCCGGUGGGAGUGAGAAGACUGAGGCAAAGCCCCGGGCUGGGGGACAUGAGGACGAGGCGGCCCCAGUACCUGAGGUGGAGGUGGAGGAGGAGGCGGGCCAGCCCCGUGAAAAUGGCCAGGAGGAGUCCUUAG
rnacentral:lncRNA from 9 species